rnacentral:rRNA from 1 species
CGCUGACGAGUGCCUUUCGGGUGAGUAAUGUCUGGGAAACUGCCUGAUGGAGGGGUAUAACUACUGGAAACGGUAUCUAAUACCGCAUAACGUCGCAAGACCAAAGAGGGGGACCUUCGGGCCUCUUGCCAUCGGAUGUGCCCAGAUGGGAUUAUCUAGUAGGUGGGGUAACGGCUCACCUAGGCGACGAUCCCUAUCUGGUCUGAGAGGAUGACCACCCACACUGGAACUGAGACACGGUCCAGACUCCUACGGGAGGCAGCAGUGGGGAAUAUUGCACAAUGGGCGCAAGCCUGAUGCACCCAUGCCGCGUGUAUGAAAAAGGCCUUCGGGUUGUAAAGUACUUUCAGCGGGGAGGAAGGGAGUAAAGUUAAUACCUUUGCUCAUUGACGUUACCCGCA